GAUGAACGCUGGCGGCGUGCUUAACACAUGCAAGUCGAACGGAAAGGCCCAAGCUUGCUUGGGUACUCGAGUGGCGAACGGGUGAGUAACACGUGGGUGAUCUGCCCUGCACUUCGGGAUAAGCCUGGGAAACUGGGUCUAAUACCGGAUAGGACCACUUCUUGGAUGUUGUGGUGGAAAGUUUUUUCGGUGUGGGAUGAGCUCGCGGCCCAUCAGCUUGUUGGUGGGGUAAUGGCCUACCAAGGCGUCGACGGGUAGCCGGCCUGAGAGGGUGUACGGCCACAUUGGGACUGAGAUACGGCCCAGACUCCUACGGGAGGCAGCAGUGGGGAAUAUUGCACAAUGGGCGCAAGCCUGAUGCAGCGACGCCGCGUGGGGGAUGACGGCCUUCGGGUUGUAAACUCCUUUCGCUAGGGACGAAGCGUUUUGUGACGGUACCUGGAGAAGAAGCACCGGCUAACUACGUG
rnacentral:rRNA from 1 species